rnacentral:rRNA from 1 species
UACGGAGGGUGCAAGCGUUAUCCGGAUUUACUGGGUUUAAAGGGUGCGUAGGUGGGUAGGUAAGCCAGUGGUGAAAUCUUCGAGCUUAACUCGGAAACUGCCAUUGAUACUAUUUAUCUUGAAUACUUUGGAGGUAAGUGGAAUAUGUCAUGUAGCGGUGAAAUGCUUAGAUAUGACAUAGAACACCAAUUGCGAAGGCAGCUUGCUACACAGUUAUUGACACUGAGGCACGAAAGCCUGGGGAUCAAACAGG